ACCCCCAAGGGUACCACAGCAGUGACAAAAAUUAAACAAAUAAGCGCAAGCUUGASUUAGUUAUAGUAAAGAGGGUCGGUCAAUCAUGUGCCAGCCACCGCGGUUAUACAAGAGACCCAAACCAACAGAAAACCGGCGUAAAAUGUGACUAAAACAACUAUCUAAAAAGUUAAGGAAAACCCCAUACUCAACUGUCAUACGUAAAAGUACACAAUCACCCCAAUAUGAAAAUAGCCUUAAUGUAAUAGAACUAUUUGAACUCACGAUCGCUAAGGCACAAACUGGGAUUAGAUACCCCACUAUGCUUAGCCAUAAACAGAUAUUUUUCACACAAAAAUAUUCGCCAGAGAACUACGAGCAAAAUGCUUAAAACUCUAAAGACUUGGCGGUGCCUCAAACCCUCCUAGAGGAGCCUGUUCUAUAAUCGAUAAUCCACGAUCCACCUCACCAUCUCUUGCCAAUACCGCCUAUAUACCACCGUCGCCAGCCUACCCUAUGAAGGAUAUAAAAGUAAGCAAAAUAGCUAACAACAGCUAACAAGUCAGGUCAAGGUGUAGCUAACUGAGAUGGAAGAAAUGGGCUACAUUUUCUAAACUAGAAAUUAUAUUACGGAAAGAACUAUGAAACAAGUUCUACAAGCAGGAUUUAGCAGUAAACAGGGAUCAGAAUGCCCAACUUAAGCCGGUCCUAAGGCAUGCACACA
rnacentral:rRNA from 1 species